UUGGUGCUUGCACCGAGCGGAUGAGUUGCGAACGGGUGAGUAACGCGUAGGUAACCUGCCUGGUAGCGGGGGAUAACUAUUGGAAACGAUAGCUAAUACCGCAUAAUAGUAGAUGUUGCAUGACAUUUGCUUAAAAGGUGCAAUUGCAUCACUACCAGAUGGACCUGCGUUGUAUUAGCUAGUUGGUGAGGUAACGGCUCACCAAGGCGACGAUACAUAGCCGACCUGAGAGGGUGAUCGGCCACACUGGGACUGAGACACGGCCCAGACUCCUACGGGAGGCAGCAGUAGGGAAUCUUCGGCAAUGGACGGAAGUCUGACCGAGCAACGCCGCGUGAGUGAAGAAGGUUUUCGGAUCGUAAAGCUCUGUUGUAAGAGAAGAACGAGUGUGAGAGUGGAAAGUUCACACUGUGACGGUAUCUUACCAGAAAGGGACGGCUAACUACGUGCCAGCAGCCGCGGUAAUACGUAGGUCCCGAGCGUUGUCCGGAUUUAUUGGGCGUAAAGCGAGCGCAGGCGGUUAGAUAAGUCUGAAGUUAAAGGCUGUGGCUUAACCAUAGUACGCUUUGGAAACUGUUUAACUUGAGUGCAAGAGGGGAGAGUGGAAUUCCAUGU
rnacentral:rRNA from 1 species